rnacentral:rRNA from 1 species
CCUACGGGAGGCAGCAGUGAGGAAUAUUGGUCAAUGGGCGGAAGCCUGAACCAGCCAAGUAGCGUGCGGGAUGAAGGCCCUACGGGUCGUAAACCGCUUUUGCACGGGGAUAACACCCUCCACUUGUGGAGGUCUGCAGGUACCGUGCGAAUAAGGGCCGGCUAAUUCCGUGCCAGCAGCCGCGGUAAUACGGAAGGCCCGAGCGUUAUCCGGAUUCAGUGGGGUUAAAGGGUGCGCAGGCGGGCGUUCAAGUCAGCGGUAAAAUCGCGCGGCUCACCCGCGCCAAGCAGUUGAAACGGGAUGCUUUGAGUGCGGCACAGGCAGGCGGAAUUCGUGGUG